UUUUCUGUCUCUCACUCUUUACCCCAACAGCUGUACGUCUCCUGAGAGUUCAAGAACGAUCCAGAGAGCCAUGAAGAGAUAGAGUGAGAGAGAGGUUAAAUUCAGGAAAGAUAAAGAAUUCAUCUCAGCACGAUGUUAGUUGCUCUUCAUCCCGAGACUGAUCGGAGAGGCACACAGAGAAAGAAGUGGGAGAGGGAUCUAGGUUAAAUUUGGGAUUUUGAAUUAUGGAUUUGAUGUAAAAUGUCCGAUUUUGAUCGUAGACCGCUGAGGUAGGAAAAAGAAGAGGAGAUCGGAGGAGGGUCUGGGUUUGUUUUGGAAGAGGUCGUUGGGCUUUCAACAGAGGAAGAAUGUGGUUUUCGAGUUAUAGAAGUUCUUUGAAUUAAGGCCACUCAAUUGCAAUGGGCAUUGGAUAGAGGAGUUUGUAUGUUUAGUAAAGCACUGGAAUUUCUAUCUGGAGAUGGAGCUAUCCCCGGUCUCACUUUGACAAUUGAAAGAAACCUCCUUAAAGGUAUACAAUGCCAAUUAUAUAUCGAAGUAUACAUUUCCUAGAUUCAUGCGUAAGAUUUCCUAUUAUUCAUGCCAAUUAUAUAGGUCUCCUUUCUUCUUUGGAAGGGAGGAAGAAGCCGUGAAGAAAUCAAGGCUGGUCUGCACCGAAACAUUGAAGCCUCUGCCACCGAAUAUAUCGAGUCUUUCCCGUUGAUUUCCUCUUUCUUCUACAGUCGUGUACUCAUCUUUAUCAAAUCAAGAACGAUCGAGAAAUAGAGAGAGAUCAAGAAAUCGGGUGCGUUUCUUUGCUUUGCACGAAGAGAUAGAGAGGGAGAUCGGGGGCAAAUCUCUAAAGCACAGAGUCGUCGCCGAAUCAAUCCAAUUGGGUUCCAAAGUUCGAACCUUUAAUCUGAUUUUAUGCAAAAAAGUGUACGCAUCAUUGCAGUGCCGCUGUUCCUUGGUCUGCUGUUUAGCAUUCUCUCCAUCUUUUAUUCUUAUUCAGAUUUUGGGAACAGUGUGCUGUCGGACAGUUUAAUUGUCUGCAAUUCAGGUACAUUGGAGUAGAUGAUGAUGAAAUGAGCAUUAGGUCCAUAAUUAUCUAUAAAUGAUGGAGAAAAAUGGAAAUGUACUAAAAGGUCAAUUUUACACAUUUUCCUACUACGGCUAGGAGAAACCAAGUCAAGCAAGGAAGAAGGAGCGGCCGCCUGACUAAAUGAACUCCAAAUGAGCUGAAACUUUCCAGAUCCAUUCUAGACAUCCUAAGGAUCAUUUCUUAUGAAGAGUGCCAGAGCUAGUUUUGAGUGGAAGGCCUUCAAACAAUCAGUCCAAUUUUCUACAGAAGCAAAACUGGAAAACUGGACCUAUAAGAGGUCCAACAGCAUUUCCAGCCCAACCGCAUGGAAUAAAGCUCUGAAAAUUUGUCAGGAUGAUCUACACUCAUAGUGGAACAUUUUUUAUGAAGAAGUCGAAGGCUCAUUCUGAAGUCUUGUUGGAGAAAUAAUUGAAGGAAUAAAGGGGCAGAAACUGAUCUAAAACCAGCUCAAUAUUCACAUGUUCAUGUUUCCUACCCACAUAAAGAAAGUUAGAUGCUUUUCUUUUUUUCCUUGGAUAUAUUUUUCUACUACAAUCUCUUUAAUAGAUCAUCAUCACUUCCAUGUUUCUGCACUUUCAUGCUUUGCUUUCAUUUCAUCAUUUCUCUAUCUUUUCCAUAUUUUACAAAUCACUUUCAUACUCCACUUUCAUUAUUUUUCUUCCACUCAUCAUUUCACUCUUCUUUUUCUUCCCUAUAUAAACACAUUCUCCUCUCAUUCUAAAACACACAUUCCUUGAUCCAUUUCAUCUUCUUGUCUUACCAUUUCCUCUCCAUUUUCCUUAGUUAUCACUUCCUCUCUUCUCAUUCUCUCACACACCUCUUCCAUCACAUAUGCACACCAUCCACUGCCCUAAUUCAGAAACCACGCCUCCAUACUCUCCCCUCAUCAUAGCUCACGAGAUCCCUACUCCAAGGAGAAGCCGUAGCCUCCAUCUUCCAUCAAAUCAUCUUCCAUCAUCUUGUCGUACUCCUGCUUUGAAGACGCCUCAAGCUUUCUUGAAGAAUAAUCAAAGUGAGAUCGUGAUAUCUACUACUCUCUACGGUUUAUUCCUUUUGUACUUUUCGAAUUCAAUAUGUAUAUGGUUUUGGAUUUCCAAACUAUGAGUGAGUAAUUUUCUUGUUGAGAACUAGUAUGAAAUCCUAGUUAUGUGAUGGACUUUUAGCUUUUGAAUCUCUUUUUCAAUUACAAGGUUUUGUGAAUGCUUUGUUUGAUUUUAUUUUAUAAAAUCUUUUAUAUGUUUAUGUC